rnacentral:rRNA from 1 species
AGAGUUUGAUCAUGGUUCAGGAUGAACGCUAGCUACAGGCUUAACACAUGCAAGUCGAGGGGCAGCAUGGUCUUAGCUUGCUAAGGCCGAUGGCGACCGGCGCACGGGUGAGUAACACGUAUCCAACCUGCCGUCUACUCUUGGACAGCCUUCUGAAAGGAAGAUUAAUACAAGAUGGCAUCAUGAGUCCGCAUGUUCACAUGAUUAAAGGUAUUCCGGUAGACGAUGGGGAUGCGUUCCAUUAGAUAGUAGGCGGGGUAACGGCCGACCUAGUCUUCGAUGGAUAGGGGUUCUGAGAGGAAGGUCCCCCACAUUGGAACUGAGACACGGUCCAAACGUCCUACGGGAGGCGA